rnacentral:rRNA from 1 species
CUAACACAUGCAAGUCGAACGGUAGCACAGAGAGCUUGCUCUCGGGUGACGAGUGGCGGACGGGUGAGUAAUGUCUGGGAAACUGCCUGAUGGAGGGGGAUAACUACUGGAAACGGUAGCUAAUACCGCAUAACGUCGCAAGACCAAAGAGGGGGACCUUCGGGCCUCUUGCCAUCAGAUGUGCCCAGAUGGGAUUAGCUAGUAGGUGGGGUAACGGCUCACCUAGGCGACGAUCCCUAGCUGGUCUGAGAGGAUGACCAGCCACACUGGAACUGAGACACGGUCCAGACUCCUACGGGAGGCAGCAGUGGGGAAUAUUGCACAAUGGGCGCAAGCCUGAUGCAGCCAUGCCGCGUGUAUGAAGAAGGCCUUCGGGUUGUAAAGUACUUUCAGCGGGGAGGAAGGUGUUGUGGUUAAUAACCUCAGCAAUUGACGUUACCCGCAGAAGAAGCACCGGCUAACUCCGUGCCAGCAGCCGCGGUAAUACGGAGGGUGCAAGCGUUAAUCGGAAUUACUGGGCGUAAAGCGCACGCAGGCGGUCUGUCAAGUCGGAUGUGAAAUCCCCGGGCUCAACCUGGGAACUGCAUUCGAAACUGGCAGGCUAGAGUCUUGUAGAGGGGGGUAGAAUUCCAGGUGUAGCGGUGAAAUGCGUAGAGAUCUGGAGGAAUACCGGUGGCGAAGGCGGCCCCCUGGACAAAGACUGACGCUCAGGUGCGAAAGCGUGGGGAGCAAACAGGAUUAGAUACCCCGCACAAGCGGUGGAGCAUGUGGUUUAAUUCGAUGCAACGCGAAGAACCUUACCUACUCUUGACAUCCAGAGAACUUUCCAGAGAUGGAUUGGUGCCUUCGGGAACUCUGAGACAGGUGCUGCAUGGCUGUCGUCAGCUCGUGUUGUGAAAUGUUGGGUUAAGUCCCGCAACGAGCGCAACCCUUAUCCUUUGUUGCCAGCGGUUAGGCCGGGAACUCAAAGGAGACUGCCAGUGAUAAACUGGAGGAAGGUGGGGAUGACGUCAAGUCAUCAUGGCCCUUACGAGUAGGGCUACACACGUGCUACAAUGGCGCAUACAAAGAGAAGCGACCUCGCGAGAGCAAGCGGACCUCAUAAAGUGCGUCGUAGUCCGGAUUGGAGUCUGCAACUCGACUCCAUGAAGUCGGAAUCGCUAGUAAUCGUAGAUCA